UACGUAGGGUGCAAGCGUUAAUCGGAAUUACUGGGCGUAAAGCGUGCGCAGGCGGUGAUGUAAGACAGGUGUGAAAUCCCCGGGCUUAACCUGGGAACUGCAUUUGUGACUGCAUAGCUGGAGUACGGCAGAGGGGGAUGGAAUUCCGCGUGUAGCAGUGAAAUGCGUAGAUAUGCGGAGGAACACCGAUGGCGAAGGCAGUCCCCUGGGCCUGCACUGACGCUCAUGCACGAAAGCGUGGGGAGCAAACAGG
rnacentral:rRNA from 1 species